rnacentral:rRNA from 1 species
UGCAGUCGAACGCAGUAGCAAUACUGAGUGGCGAACGGGUGAGUAUAAUGUGGGUAUCUGCCUUUUGGUUUGGAAUAACACGAGGAAACUUGUGCUAAUACCGAAUAAGCCCUUACGGGGAAAGUUUUAACGCCGAAAGAUGAGCCUGCACUUGAUUAGCUAGUUGGUAGGGUAAUGGCCUACCAAGGCAACGAUCAAUAGCUGAUCUGAGAGGAUGAUCAGCCACAUUGGGACUGAGACACGGCCCAAACUCCUACGGGAGGCAGCAGUGGGGAAUCUUGCACAAUGGGGGAAACCCUGAUGCAGCGAUGCCGCGUGAGUGAAGAAGGCCUUUGGGUUGUAAAGCUCUUUCGUCGGGGAAGAAAAUGACUGUACCCGAAUAAGAAGGUCCGGCUAACUUCGUGCCAGCAGCCGCGGUAAUACGAAGGGACCUAGCGUAGUUCGGAAUUACUGGGCUUAAAGAGCUCGUAGGUGGUUAAAAAAGUUGGUGGUGAAAUCCCAAGGCUCAACCUUGGAACUGCCACCAAAACUUUUUAGCUAGAGUAUG